rnacentral:rRNA from 1 species
UCCGUAGGUGAACCUGCGGAAGGAUCAUUAUCGUGGGGCUUCGGCCCCGUCGAGAUAGAACCCUUGCCUUUUGAGUACCGUCCGUUUCCUCGGCAGGUCCGCCUGCCAGGACACAAAACAAACCCUUUUUUACCUGUAACAGUCUGAAAAACAAACAAAAAUUAAAACUUUCAACAACGGAUCUCUUGGUUCUGGCAUCGAUGAAGAACGCAGCGAAAUGCGAUAAGUAAUGUGAAUUGCAGAAUUCAGUGAAUCAUCGAAUCUUUGAACGCACCUUGCGCUCCUUGGUAUUCCGAGGAGCAUGCCUGUUUGAGUGUCAUGAAAACCCUCAACCCUAGAUUGGUUAAUACCUUUCUUUGGUUUGGAUUUGGACGUUUGCCGAUGAUAAGUCGGCUCGUCUUAAAAGUAAUAGCUGGAUCUGUCUCGCGACAUGGUUUGACUUGGCGUAAUAAGUAUUUCGCUAAGGACAUCUUCGGAUGGCCGCGUUGCAGGACUAAAGACCGCUUUCUAAUCCAUUGAUCUUCGGAUUAAUACUCUUGACAUCUGGCCUCAAAUCAGGGUAGGGGGACUACCCGGCUGGGAACUUAAGGCAUAUCAAUAAGGCGGGAGGGAAGGUCGGACUGGCCAAGGGGCACACAGGGGGGGGGGAUA